GCCCCGAUAAGCUGUGCAAGUCAUGCUGCGGGCAUAUCUUCUCCUCGGAGGAGGAUAUGAUCCCGCAGCUGACUGUGGACCACAUGCCAUCCGUAUGGCAGUGCGUGGAGCCAAGCACCACGGUGACAAUGAGUGACUAACGUUUAGCAUUCUUGGCUACUGUUGUAUAGCAGUUUGGAAUGUAAUAUUUUAGCAGUACGUUACCUAGUUUUUAAUAGUACUGUGACUAACUUUCAGCAUUUAGUUAGCCUAAUCGAUUAAUGUUUUGGUAGCAGUUUAGAACGUAUAUGUUAGUAAUGCCUUAGUAUUGAGUUAGUUCGUAGUAGUAGUGUGACUAGUGUUUAUAAUAUAGAUAGUAUAAUCGCCUAGUGUUUUAGUAGCAGUUAAGAACGUAUAUUUUAUUAAUGCUUUAGUAUUGAAUUAGUUCGUAGUAGUAGAGUGACUAGGGUUUAGAAGUUAGAUAGUAUAAUCGCUUAGUGUUGUAGUAGCAGUUUAGAGUGUAUAUUUUAGUAAUGCUGUAGUAUUGAAUUAGUUCGUAGUAGUAGAGUGACUAGUGUUUAGAAUUUAGAUAGUAUAAUCGCUUAGUGUUGUAGUAGCAGUUUAGAGUGUAUAUUUUAGUAGUAAUUCGGUAUUUAGUUAGUUCGUAGUAGAGUACCUAACGUUUUGCAUUCAUGUAAUAUAGUCGUUUAGUGUUUAGCAGCUUACGUUUGCUGUUCAUUUAGUAUAAUGGUUUAGAUUUUUAGUAGCUGUUUAAAAUGCUAUAUUUUAGUAGUACUUCGGUAUUUAGUUAAUUCUUACUAGUUGAAUGACUAACGUUUACCACUUAUAUCGUAUAGUAAUCGUUUAGCAGUUUUGUAGUAGUUUGGAAUGUGCAUUCUUGUAGCACUUUAGUAUACAGUUAGUUCUUAGUAGUAGGGUGACUAACUUUCAGCAUUUAGUUAGUAUACUCGCUUAGUGUUUAGUAGCAGUUUAGAAAGUAUAUGUUAGUAGCACUUUAGUGUGUAGAUAGUUCUUAGUAGUAGUCAGUAAGGUUUAGCGUUCAGGUAGUAUAAUCGUUUAGUGUUUUGGUAGCAGUUUAUAAUGUAUAUUUUAGUAGCACUUCAGUAUUGAGUUACUUCGUAGUAGUAGAGUGACUAGUGUUUAGAAUUAGAUAGCAUAAUCGCCUAGUGUUUUAGUAGCAGUUUAGAACGUAUAUUUUAGUAAUGCCUUAGUAUUGAGUUAGUUCGUAGUAGUAGAGUGACUAGAGUUGAGAAUUUAGAUAGUAUAAUCGCCUCGUGGUGGAGUGGCAAUUUAGAAUGUAUAUUUUAGUAGUACUUCAGUAUGUAGUUAAUUCUUACUAGCAGAGUGACUAACGUUUACGACUUAUAUCGUAUAGUAAUCGUUUAGCAGUUUUGUAGUAGUUUGGAAUGUGCAUUCUUGUAGCACUUUAGUAUACAGUUAGUUCUUAGUAGUAGGGGGACUAACUUUCAGCAUUUAAUUAGUAUGCUCGGUUAGUGUUUAGUAGCAGAUUAGAAAGUAUAUGUUAGUAGCACUUUAGUGUGUAGAUAGUUCGUGUGUAGCGAAGCAAUUCUGCUGUGGGGGCGGGGUCAAGUGUAUCAGUUAUGUCUUCACUGACUAUAGGAAAAUCUUGGGGCUUCGUCGUAGCGUUGAGGGGUCGUAAACUCGUCGUCAUUCGCGUAUAUAUCAAUUUUUGUGUCCUCCGGAUCAAUGAGAACCAGGCAGCCAAGCAAUAUGGAAUUGGAUGCAGCAAGACUAACUUCCUUUGAGUGCUUACCGUCGCUUGGAAUUGUGGUAGUUUACUAAUACAAAAGAAACAAACGGCCUCCAAACUGUUCCCAUUUCUUCCCUACCGGUCCACAGUCCACGACGUGUCAAGGUCAGCGAAAGCGAAAUGUGAAGGAUUAUUGUUCGUUCCCCCGCUGAGCAAGCGCCCAAGAUGCAACGCGUGUGCAAGACCACUGGGAUUUACCGAACCCCUCCACUGGGUGCCGGAAGACUAGCUUCCUUUGUGUACACACGGGGAGCUAAUAUUCAGGUGGAUUAGUCACAGGCGCUAGAAUAUUUCCAAGCCUAGAGGAACGCCACCACGUGUCGUAGCAAUGAAUUAAAAACAACAAUGAACGAAGAAGUUCGACUAUCUUCGUUUAUGGUGCACUGGUAUGUUCUCGGCGCCACAGCAGUUCGAAGAAGAAGAAUGUUCUAGUUCACCAUAAACGAUGACAUCGGGGUAGGUAGGGAACCAAUCACAAGCUGUCAGAUCGUCAAUCAGGACUCGCUUUCUGCAAGGAGCCACUCCGCCUGUGAAAGCUAGCUCAGAACACCACCCACAACCACCAAUGUCCAGAGGACGUCCUGAAAUGGUCGGAAUAUCUUUGUCAGAAAGUGACGUAAAUAGGAUGUCUUCUAGAUGUCUAUUUGCGAUGUCCGUUGGGACAAUAAAAGCGUACAUCCUGUAGAUAUCCUACAGUUAUCC